UAUGGACAUCCCGGGCAGCCUCACCUUCUGGACAUUGCUCUUAGCACUAUCCUUUCUAAGAGAAGCUACAGGUUCAAGGGGGGAAGUCUGGAGUCUUCCAGGUUAGGAUGGUGUCAUGUAAUGAAUUCCUCCAAACUGAAACUUUCUAUUUCUGAGGGAAGAUGGGUCAGUCUUGAGAAGUUCUAAGGGAAGGCUCAUUAAGAUGCAGGAAGUUAACAACUGACAAGUAUCGGGAAGUCCCUGAGACUUGUCAGAUGCACAGACCACCCUCCUCCCAGGGAUAUGUAAGCAGUAACGACUGCUAAAAAGAGAUUCUGUAGCCUAUUGAGCUGCCUGCAAAUAGUCUCGGUUCUAGCUUUCACGAGUCAUGGCCCAUGCCAAGGGGGAUUCUGAGUGAUGCAACUGCCUUUGAGUUAUUCCUACUCCUUGUUCCAGGAGUCCCAGAACAGUGACUGAUGACACGGGCAUCUAGCAACUGUCAAAUCCACCGUUGGAAUGGAUGUCUACUUAUCUGCUAAUAUGAUUCCUUGGUGGCUGAGUUUCCUGGCUUUCAUCACUGUAAUCGAUUCAGCUUCAUUUGGAAGUUUUACAGUCUCUGCAGCACUUUCCACAGUUGGGAGAUAAAUAGCAAUUAAAAACUCUUAGGCUGUC